UACGUAGGGACCAAGCGUUGUUCGGAUUUACUGGGCGUAAAGGGCGCGUAGGCGGCGCAACAAGUCACUUGUGAAAUCUCCGGGCUUAACUCGGAACGGUCAAGUGAUACUGUCGUGCUAGAGUACAGAAGGGGCAACUGGAAUUCUCGGUGUAGCGGUGAAAUGCGUAGAUAUCGAGAGGAACACCUGCGGCGAAGGCGGGUUGCUGGGCUGACACGUGACGCUGAAGCGCGAAAGCUAGGGGAGCGAACGGG
rnacentral:rRNA from 1 species